rnacentral:rRNA from 1 species
GAACCUUACCUGGUCUUGACAUCCCGGAGACCCUUAGGAAACUAGGGGUGCUUCCAUCUGGAGAAUCUGGAGACAGGUGCUGCAUGGCUGUCGUCAGCUCGUGUCGUGAGAUGUUGGGUUAAGUCCCGCAACGAGCGCAACCCUUGCCUUUAGUUGCCAGCAGUUCGGCUGGGCACUCUAAAGGGACUGCCGGUGUUAAACCGGAGGAAGGUGGGGAUGACGUCAAGUCCUCAUGGCCUUUAUGACCAGGGCUACACACGUACUACAAUGGCCGAUACAAAGGGCAGCGACACUGCGAGGUGAAGCCAAUCCCGUAAAAUCGGUCUCAGUCCGGAUUGGAGUCUGCAACUCGACUCCAUGAAGUUGGAAUCGCUAGUAAUCGUGGAUCAGCAUGCCACGGUGAAUACGUUCCCGGGCCUU